ensembl:misc_RNA 7SK 7SK RNA
GGAUGUGAGGGCUAUCUGGCUACAACAUCUGUCACCCCAUUGAUCGCAAGGGUUGAUUUGGCUGAUCUGGCUGGCUAGGCAGUGUCCCCUUCCUCCCUCACUGCUCCAUGUGCAUCCCUCCUGAAUCUGUGUGCUCAGUGGAAGAGGACGGCCUUCCCCAAAUAGAGACGGACUGGUCUUCUGUCAAGGGUAUAGGAGUAGUUGCACUCCCCUGCUAGAACCUCCAAACAAGCUCUCAUAUAGCCUUUAGGUUCAUGAUUUGUCAACAAUUUAUUUGGCCUUAUAUGUUAACUCUUCUUUGGGCUUCCAGGUUCCAGAUGCUACUAUGAUGCCAACCAGA